CAAAGUAUAGCUUAAUUAAAGCACCUUGCUUACACCGAGGAGACAUCCGUGCAACCCGAAUUACUUUGA
rnacentral:tRNA from 1 species